rnacentral:rRNA from 1 species
CAGCACCUCAAGUGGUCAGGAUGAUUAUUGGGCCUAAAGCAUCCGUAGCCGGCUCUGUAAGUUUUCGGUUAAAUCCGUACGCUCAACGUACAGGCUGCCGGGAAUACUGCAGAGCUAGGGAGUGGGAGAGGUAGACGGUACUCGGUAGGAAGGGGUAAAAUCCUUUGAUCUAUUGAUGACCACCUGUGGCGAAGGCGGUCUACCAGAACACGUCCGACGGUGAGGGAUGAAAGCUGGGGGAGCAAACCGGAUUAGAUACCCGAGUAGUCC